rnacentral:rRNA from 1 species
CGCCUGUUUAACAAAAACAUGUCUUUUUGAAUUUUUUUUAAAGUCUAGCCUGCCCCCUGAAUAAUUUUAAAUGGCCGCAGUAUACUAACUGUGCAAAGGUAGCAUAAUCAUUAGUCUUUUAAUUGAAGGCUGGUAUGAAUGGUUGGACGAGAUAUUAACUGUUUCAUAAAAAUUUAUAAUAGAAUUUUAUUUUUUAGUCAAAAAGCUAAAAUAUAUUUAAAAGACGAGAAGACCCUAUAAAUCUUUAUAUUUAGGUUAUUAUAAUUUUAUAGAUUUUUUUUGUUAUAAUAAUUGAUAAUAUUUUAUUGGGGUGAUAUUAAAAUUUGAUAAACUUUUAAUUGUUUAAAUCAUUAAUUUAUGAAUAAUUGAUCCGUUAUUAGCGAUUAAAAAAAUAAGUUACUUUAGGGAUAACAGCGUAAUUUUUUUGGAGAGUUCAUAUCGAUAAAAAAGAUUGCGACCUCGAUGUUGGAUUAAGGUAUAAUUUUAGGUGUAGCCGCUUAAAUUUUAAGUCUGUUCGACUUUUAAAUUCUUACGUGAUCUGAGUUCAGACCGG